AUUGAACGCUGGCGGAAUGCUUUACACAUGCAAGUUGAACGGUAGAGGGGGCAACCCCUCGAGAGUGGCGAACGGGUGAGUAAUAUAUCGGAACGUGCCCAGUCGUGGGGGAUAACGUAGCGAAAGUUACGCUAAUACCGCAUACGAUCUAAGGAUGAAAGCGGGGGAUCGCAAGACCUCGCGCGAUUGGAGCGGCCGAUAUCAGAUUAGGUAGUUGGUGGGGUAAAGGCUCACCAAGCCAACGAUCUGUAGCGGGUCUGAGAGGACGACCAGCCACACUGGAACUGAGACACGGUCCAGACUCCUACGGGAGGCAGCAGUGGGGAAUUUUGGACAAUGGACGCAAGUCUGAUCCAGCCAUUCCGCGUGCAGGAUGAAGGCCCUCGGGUUGUAAACUGCUUUUGUACGGAACGAAAAGGUCUCUCUUAAUACGGGGGACUCAUGACGGUACCGUAAGAAUAAGCACCGGCUAACUACGUGCCAGCCGCCGCAGUAA
rnacentral:rRNA from 1 species